rnacentral:rRNA from 1 species
GAUGAACGCUGGCGGCGUGCUUAACACAUGCAAGUCGAACGGAAAGGCCCAAGUUUGCUUGGGUACUCGAGUGGCGAACGGGUGAGUAACACGUGGGUGAUCUGCCCUGCACUUCGGGAUAAGCCUGGGAAACUGGGUCUAAUACCGGAUAGGACCACCUCCUGGAUGGUGUGGUGGAAAGUUUUUCGGCGUGGGGUGAGGUCGCGGCCUAUCAGCUUGUUGGUGGGGUAAUGGCCUACCAAGGCGUCGACGGGUAGCCGGCGUGAGGAGGUGUACGGCCGCAAUAGUGCGGCGAUGCGGCGGAGCAGCCUACGGGGGGCGGCAGUGGGGGGGAAUGCACAAUAGGGGCAAGCCGGAUGAAGCGACACCGCGUGGGGGAUGACGGCCUUCGUGUUGUAAACUCCUUUCGCUAGGGACGAAGAUUAUUUUGUGACGGUACCUGGUGAAGAAGCACCGGCUAACUACGUG